GAUGAAGAACGUAGCGAAAUGCGAUAAGUAAUGCGAAUUGCAGAAUUCAGUGAGUCAUCGAAUCUUUGAACGCACAUUGCGCCCCUUGGUAUUCCAUGGGGCAUGCCUGUUCGAGCGUCAUUUGUACCUUCAAGCUUUGCUUGGUGUUGGGUGUUUGUCCCGAGGGACUCGCCUUAAAGUAAUUGGCAGCCAGUGUUUGGUUUUGAAGCGCAGCACAAGUCGCGAUUCAAGGCUACACGCCCGCUUCCACAAGCCUUUUUUCACUUUUGACCUCGGAUCAGGUAGGGAUACCCGCUGAACUUAAGCAUAUCAAUAAGCGGAGGA
rnacentral:misc_RNA from 1 species